UACGUAGGGUGCGAGCGUUAAUCGGAAUUACUGGGCGUAAAGCGUGCGCAGGCGGCGCGUUAAGACAGGUGUGAAAGCCCCGAGCUUAACUUGGGAAUUGCGCUUGUGACUGGCGUGCUGGAGUGUGGCAGAGGGAGUGGAAUUCCACGUGUAGCAGUGAAAUGCGUAGAGAUGUGGAGGAACACCGAUGGCGAAGGCAGCCUCCUGGGCCAGCACUGACGCUCAUGCAUGAAAGCGUGGGGAGCAAACAGG
rnacentral:rRNA from 1 species